CACGGGGGGAGCAAGCGUUGUUCGGAAUCACUGGGCGUAAAGGGCGUGUAGGCGGUCAGGUAAGUGAGAUGUGAAAUGCCCCGGCUCACCCGGGGACCGGCAUCUCAUACUGCUUGGCUUGAGUACGGGAGAGGAUGUGGGAAUUCCUGGUGUAGCGGUGAAAUGCGUAGAUAUCUGGAGGAACACCGGUGGCGAAGGCGGCAUCCUGGACCGACACUGACGCUGAGGAGCGAAAGCGUGGGGAGCGAACAGG
rnacentral:rRNA from 1 species